CCUACGGGAGGCAGCAGUCGAGAAUCAUUCACAAUGGGGGAAACCCUGAAGGUGCGACGCCGCGUGGGGGAAUGAAGGUCUUCGGAUUGUAAACCCCUGUCAUGUGGGAGCAAAUUAAAAAGAUAGUACCACAAGAGGAAGAGCCGGCUAACUUUGUGCCUGCCGCCGCGGUACUACAGAGGUCUGAGGCGUUGUUCGGAAUCACUGGGCGUAAAGCGUGCGUAGGCUGUUUCGUAAGUCGUGUGUGAAAGGCGCGGGCGUAACCCGCGGACGGCCCAUGAUACUGCGAGACUAGAGUAAUGGAGGGGGAUCCGGAAUGCUUGGUGUAGCAGUGAAAUGCGUAGAUAUCGAGCGGAACACUCGUGGCGAAGGCGGGUUCCUGGACAUUAACUGACGCUGAGGCACGAAGGCCAGGGUAGCGAAAGGGAUUAGAUACCCUAGUAGUC
rnacentral:rRNA from 1 species